UACGUAUGGGGCAAGCGUUAUCCGGAUUUACUGGGUGUAAAGGGAGCGUAGGCGGCGGGGCAAGCCUGAUGUGAAAGCCCGGGGCUCAACCCCGGGACUGCCCUUGGAACUGCAUGGCUGGAGUGCGGGAGGGGUAGGCGGAAUUCCUAGUGUAGCGGUGAAAUGCGUAGAUAUUAGGAGGAACACCAGUGGCGAAGGCGGCCUACUGGACGGUGACUGACGCUGAGGCUCGAAAGCGUGGGGAGCAAACAGG
rnacentral:rRNA from 1 species